rnacentral:piRNA from 1 species
UGUGCUGCAUGUGCACCAUUUGACAUUAAGUU